AGCCUUGGAGCUUGCCCAAGCAUUCUCAAAAUCUUUCUCGGAUCCAAAAACAGCUGAUCGAUAUUCUAGCCAAAGGGGCCUCCAUGGCAAGACCCAGGUGCCUUUUUCACGGCUAAUGGGCCCAACACCAAGGCCUCAGAUAAAUGGCUACUAAAUUCUGAGUGGUGUUGUGGCCAAUAAGGCAUCUGGUGGUAAGAAGAUUGUGCCUCUGAUACUGAAGCUUUGGUUAAAAGCAAGCUGUUGAGCAAAUGAGUGUGCCCUCAGUUAUCUCAGCAAAUAGAUGGCCAUUUGAAAUCGAGUAGAAUGCUUCAGCUGAUUACAUAUUUACUUUGUAAACCCAUAUGCCCUUUUUGUUAAUCUCUCUUGAUAACUGUAUUCCUCAUUUUUUUAGGAGAGAGAGAGUGGUCUGUGUUGCUUAUUUAUAAAUUGAAAAUAGACUUCCUUGUACCAUAAAGUAGUGCUACAAAUGACUCAAUUUUCAAUUUAUAAAUAAGCAACACAGA
rnacentral:misc_RNA from 1 species